rnacentral:rRNA from 1 species
CCUACGGGAGGCAGCAGUGAGGAAUAUUGGUCAAUGGACGAGAGUCUGAACCAGCCAAGUAGCGUGAAGGAUGACUGCCCUAUGGGUUGUAAACUUCUUUUAUAUGGGAAUAAAAUGUUCCACGUGUGGGAUGUUGUAUGUACCAUAUGAAUAAGGAUCGGCUAACUCCGUGCCAGCAGCCGCGGUAAUACGGAGGAUCCGAGCGUUAUCCGGUUUUAUUGGGUUUAAAGGGAGCGUAGGUGGAUUGUUAAGUCAGUUGUGAAAGUUUGCGGCUCAACCGUAGAAUUGCAGUUGAAACUGGCAGUCUUGAGUACAGGAGAGGGUGGCGGAAUUCGUGGUGUAGCGGUGAAAUGCUUAGAUAUCACGAAGAACUCCGAGUGCGAAGGCAGCUCACUGGACUGCAACUGACACUGAGGCUCGAAAGUGUGGGUAUCAAACAGGAUUAGAUACCCGGGUAGUC